rnacentral:ncRNA from 1 species
UUCCUGAUCCAUAAUCUACGAUACUUAAAUUUGAGUACCCAGUCUUACUCCAAAAUAAAGAAAGCAAGUGGACACAAAGGUAUAGAUAGAAGCUUGGCUCUGACUUAAAAUAUAAUGAAGAACUAAAAAAUACACAUGGUUUUGAUGGAAAGAAGCGAGGGAAAAGAUGAAUGAAAGCUUACUUAGAAGAAGGGGAAGUAUAUUUUUCUUUUAUGGUAUUAUAGUUCCAGAUGAUAUCUUAAAAAGUCUCGCUAACACCAGUGUUGAAGGUUAAGAAAGAGUGAAAGCUUGGCUUAAUUUAGUUCAUAAAAUCUGGUUAAUUUGGUGCCAGCAUCCGCGGUUAAACCAAGACGAUUUAGUUAUAUGUGGUCGGUCAAAAGACAGUUAAACGAUAUGAAAGUUUGUUUAAUAAUUAUUUAGAAGUAAAAUUCGGAAAUAAUCUAGAAAUCUAAUUAUAGCUAAAAAGUUGAAGCUGUGACAACCCUGAGGGAAACUGGGAUUAGAUACCCCACUAUUCCUGGAGGUAAAGCGAUUUAGAUCUACCGGAGUACUAUGAAUUUAACUUAUUUAAAACUCAAAGAGCUUGGCGGUGUUUUAGACUCUUCAGGGGAACCUGUCUCAUAAUCGACAAUCCACGUUACACCUAACUUCUAUUUGCUUUCAGUAUGUAUACCGUCGUCGUCAGGUAACUUUUUAGAACGAAGAAGUUAGCGACAGAAUUAAUAAUAAAUUCAAACGUCAGAUCAAGGUGCAGCUCACGUAGAAGUGAGGAUGGGUUACAAUUAUAAAACUUAUAAAGACGGAUCAACGACUCGGAGGAGCCCUUGUGAAGGAGGACUUGAAAGUAAAAUGGAAUACAAGAACAUCUUGAAUUAAGCUCUGAAACGUGCACACAUCGCCCGUCGCUCUCGUUGAAAAACGAGAUAAGUCGUAACAUAGCAGAGGUAAUGGAAAUUGCCCCUAAAC